CCUACGGGUGGCAGCAGUGGGGAAUAUUGGACAAUGGGGGCAACCCUGAUCCAGCCAUGCCGCGUGUGUGAAGAAGGCCCUCGGGUUGUAAAGCACUUUCAGUGAGGAAGAACGCCUGGUGGUUAAUACCCAUCAGGAAAGACAUCACUCACAGAAGAAGCACCGGCUAACUCCGUGCCAGCAGCCGCGGUAAUACGGAGGGUGCGAGCGUUAAUCGGAAUUACUGGGCGUAAAGCGCGCGUAGGUGGCUUGAUAAGCCGGUUGUGAAAGCCCCGGGCUCAACCUGGGAACGGCAUCCGGAACUGUCAAGCUAGAGUGCAGGAGAGGAAGGUAGAAUUCCCGGUGUAGCGGUGAAAUGCGUAGAGAUCGGGAGGAAUACCAGUGGCGAAGGCGGCCUUCUGGACUGACACUGACACUGAGGUGCGGAAGCGUGGGUAGCAAACAGGAUUAGAUACCCUAGUAGUC
rnacentral:rRNA from 1 species